rnacentral:rRNA from 1 species
UAGGGAAUCUUCCACAAUGGACGAAAGUCUGAUGGAGCAACGCCGCGUGAGUGAAGAAGGGUUUCGGCUCGUAAAACUCUGUUGUUAAAGAAGAACAUAUCUGAGAGUAACUGUUCAGGUAUUGACGGUAUUUAACCAGAAAGCCACGGCUAACUACGUGCGAG